UUGAGCCGUAUGCGAUGAAAGUUGCAUGUACGGUUCUUAGAGGGGGAAAGUUCGAGAGGACCUACCUAUCUCGAC
rfam:Paracoccidioides brasiliensis strain Pb18 mitochondrion, complete genome.